rnacentral:lncRNA from 1 species
GGUUGAAUUUUUCCUACUACUCCAAAUUUAAACUGCAGGUACAUAAAAUAUUAGAAUUCAGUCUUUCCGAAAAUGAUAUUCAUGAUUUUUAUCGUAUGCUGAUACCAUAUUGAGGACCUAGCAUAAAAUUUCGUGCAUCAUGAUGUUGUAACAUGAGGAGGUAAUCGUAGAAAAAGUGUAUUUUAAUUAUAUAAAAUCCAAACGAAGUCCAAAAAUCACGAAACUUGUUAAUAUAUCUUGUUAUGGUGUGUGG